AUGAACGCUGGCGGCGUGCCUAAUACCUGCAAGUCGAGCGAACAGAUAAGGAGCUUGCUCCUUUGACGUUAGCGGCGGACGGGUGAGUAACACGUGGGUAACCUACCUAUAAGACUGGGAUAACUUCGGGAAACCGGAGCUAAUACCGGAUAACAUUUGGAACCGCAUGGUUCUAAAGUGAAAGAUGGUUUUGCUAUCACUUAUAGAUGGACCCGCGCCGUAUUAGCUAGUUGGUAAGGUAACGGCUUACCAAGGCAACGAUACGUAGCCGACCUGAGAGGGUGAUCGGCCACACUGGAACUGAGACACGGUCCAGACUCCUACGGGAGGCAGCAGUAGGGAAUCUUCCGCAAUGGGCGAAAGCCUGACGGAGCAACGCCGCGUGAGUGAUGAAGGGUUUCGGCUCGUAAAACUCUGUUAUUAGGGAAGAACAAAUGUGUAAGUAACUGUGCACGUCUUGACGGUACCUAAUCAGAAAGCCACGGCUAACUACGUG
rnacentral:rRNA from 1 species